rnacentral:rRNA from 1 species
UACGGAGGGUGCAAGCGUUGUCCGGAAUUAUUGGGCUUAAAGGGUGCGUAGGCGGGGUUUCAAGUCUGGUUUGAAAGUUAGCUGCUCAACAGUUAGACGUGGCUUGAAACUGGGAUUCUGGAAUGGGUUGGCGGCUGCCGGAACUGGUCAUGUAGCGGUGAAAUGCAUAGAUAUGAGCAAGAACACCGAUUGCGAAGGCAGGCAGCUACGACAUGAUUGACACUGAGGCACGAGAGCAUGGGUAGCGAACAGG